AAUCUACCUAGUAGUAUAGGCAUAGCCACUAGAAAUGGUGGGUAAUACUGUAUAAUCCCUGCGGGGGAAAGAUUUAUCGCUACAUGAUGAGCCUAUGUUAGAUUAGCUAGUUGGUGGGGUAAUGGCCUACCAAGGCAGUGAUCUAUAGCUGGUCUGAGAGGAUGAUCAGCCACACUGGAACUGAGACACGGUCCAGACUCCUACGGGAGGCAGCAGUGGGGAAUAUUGGACAAUGGGCGCAAGCCUGAUCCAGCUAUGCCGCGUGAGUGAGGAAGGCCUUAGGGUUGUAAAACUCUUUCAGUGGGGAAGAUAAUGACGGUACCCACAGAAGAAGUCCCGGCAAACACCGUGCCAGCGGCCGCGGUAAUACG
rnacentral:rRNA from 1 species